rnacentral:rRNA from 1 species
UACGUAGGGCGCAAGCGUUGUCCGGAAUUAUUGGGCGUAAAGAGCUCGUAGGCGGCUUGUCACGUCGGAUGUGAAAACCCGGGGCUCAACUCCGGGCCUGCAGCCGAUACGGGCAGACUAGAGUUCGGCAGGGGAGACUGGAAUUCCUGGUGUAGCGGUGAAAUGCGCAGAUAUCAGGAGGAACACCGGUGGCGAAGGCGGGUCUCUGGGCCGAUACUGACGCUGAGGAGCGAAAGCGUGGGGAGCGAACAGG